AUGAGAUUCCAAGAGCAUUAGUCACUUGAAAGCGUCUGUGGUGAACAACAGAGCCGAGGCCAGCUCAGUCCUUUCUGAGACGCUGAAGGAAGGGCACACACAAAAGGCUGACGCUCCAGUCUGAUAUUCAAGAGCAAAUGACAACUCUUAACACUCGCCCUGCUCUGAACUGCUCAAGAAAAUAUGAAAGUAAUUUUCAAAAGCUCUUGGCUUGACGCUUCUUUCCUAAAAGAAAAUCCUCUCCAGAGCCUUUGAUUAAAGAAGGGUGUAAUCACUCUUUCUGAUUCACUCUGAUUUCACCUCAAAGGGGACCUGAGGUUUCUUUAUACCAAGUUGACUCUUACUUCAAACCAGAGGCAGAAGAAGAAGGAGGGGGAAAAAAAAGAAAGCCAAGUCGGUUUGAGCAGCCUCUCCCACAGGCUGGGAACAUCAGGGGUAUUUACAGAUGUUAAACUGAACCUUUAAAAACAGAAAUUGCCUGCCCCUGUCUGACUCGGCAUCUAAGGCGAAGAGUCUCAGUCUCUCUGGCGUGACACCGGUCUUGUGCAACCUCUGAUAUGUGUAAAGUAACUGAGGCACAAGAUGUGUUUCUGGCUCCAUCGCUGCUUUUGACCUGGUUGUUGUAGUUUAUAAUGAAAGUGGGUGCCUUUUUGUUUUGUUUUAAAUAAGGAUCACGAAAAAUGACUUUAAAAGAAGAAUGUAUGAUGUGUUGUGUGUGAAGAGUCCAAGGCGAGAAUCAGCAUCCUGUCCUGCCCAGGGAUGCACGGGGCUGCAGCAGCACCCAGGCCGGUGCCCAGAGGAGUUUUCCCAUGACUUGAACAAAGAGCUGAAAUUCUCUGCACAUUAUUGUUAUCGGCCAGAACCUACUUGGUAAAAUCAGGCUUCUCACUCUCCCCUGAUAGAUGAACUGUUUCUAGCCAGGAAACCAUCUUUGAAUUCCUGACAAAUUCCCGAGGCGUAGGAACAUAUUCCAGGCACAUCUGUGGAAGUCAAAGUACAGCAGGCAGGAGUCUAUUCUCUCACCAUGGGGAUGGUGGGGAGUCAAAUUCAGGUUAUCUGGCUUGGUGGCCAGCACCUUAAUCCACUGAACCAUCUUCCUGGCCCCAAUUACACACAGCGUUACCUUUUGGUCUGGCUUUUGGGCUCCUGGCCAUAACUUACAUCCUCACCAAACCUAAGCAGAACUAUUUACAGCAGCAACUUUCUCCAGAAUUGCCAAAACGUGGAAGAAAUCCAGAUUCCCUGCAGUCAGCGAUUGGAUAGACAGAGGUGUGCUGUGUGCAGACAAUGGAGUGUUACUUAGCCAUAAAAAGAGAAAGGAGCUCACAAGCCACAGAAAGACAUUGAGGGACUUGUGGUGCACAUCACUGGAUGCAAAAGGCAAUCUGGAAAGAGAGCAAGCUGUGUGCUUCCAUUAUAUGUUCUAGAAAAGGCAAAGUGAAUGAGGCAAUGAGAGAUCUGUUUCCCAUGGUGCAAGGUGCCGGGGUGAAGGAUGAAUGCGUGAAUAAUGGGGAUCUUUCAGGCAGCAGGAUGGAUAUAAUGGUGAUGGAUACAUGAUGUUACACAUCUGUCAAAGUCCUCAGAAUGUAAGCAGAGUGAAGGCUAAUGUAAACUACAUAAUCAUGGUGCAUCGAUGCUGACUGAUCACAGGUAGAAUACACACAACCAGAACACACAACCUUGAUAAUAAGAGAAAUGGUGAGUGAGGGAAGGGGGCGGGGGCUGAGAACUUCACCUGCUACUCAGUUCUCUGUAAGUCAAAUCCCAGGCAAGCUGUUUGCCACACAAGCGAGGCCACCUGGGUUGUAGGACACAGAACCUAUGUCGAAGCUGUUCUCCUAUGUGUCUCUGAUGAUUGGCAGAUGGGGACAGGAUUGAGUCCAGAGGCUCAAGAGUCUGCCAGCCUGACUUGUAUGACAACAAAGAAACCUAUCUCAAGCAAGAAAAUGGAAUGCCACUUUAAGACAAGACGCACCCAGAACUGGCAUAGAGCAGCUAGCGAUGUGCUGGAUGUGUGAGUGCCCAGCACACUGAAGCAGGGCGCACAGUAGACACGGAGCUAAUGGCCGAGGAGACGGCGCAGAGUCGGGAGGAUCUCCACACACUUGGGCGAGCCAUCGGCUACUGUGUGAACACGUCCACCCAAGGCUGGGGUCGGGAACUUACGUCCCGGUACCACGGCGGCAUCUAGUGAGAGGUGGUUAGUGACGAGGACGAAGGGGAAGGACCGAUACUCAGCCGAGCUGAGGUGUUCCCUUUCUCCUCGCUGUGAACAAAUACCCAAGAGGCAACUUCCAGGAAAGGUUGGAGGAGACCAAGUCAUGGUGGGUGGGGAUUCCUCACGUCUCCAUGGAUCAGGAAGCAAAGCAAGAACAGGAAGGGCAAAUAGGCCGUAAAACCUUUGUACCGCCCCCUAGUGGCCGACACAGACACAGACUCACACACACACACACACACACCUUCACAAGUAGUGGAUCAAGCACAUGGAACACAGGAGUGGGGGGGGGGGACAUUGCACAUUGAAUCCAUGAUGUGGGAGGAACACAAAGUCAGCGCUCUCUCCCCCUUCCACUCCUUCCCUCCCUCUCCCCCCUUCUCUCUCUCUCUCUCUCUCUCUCUCUCUCUCUCUCUCUCUCU